UCAAACCCUAAUUUCUUCCUAUAUAUACCCACCCACUUCUGCAACUCAUCAACAACAAAUUAUUUGCAUCAUCGUCUCUAAAAUUCUCCGAUUCAUUUCAAAAUUGACUGAGGAAUUACGAAAAGAUGCCAAAUUAAUCGUCUUUGAUGAAGCACCUAUGGACACGCAGUUCUGAUUUUGUUUUUUUUUUAACAAUGGAUUCCUGCGUUUUCUCGUAGGUUCCAUAUUUUCUCUCUCUCUCUCUCUCUCUCUCUCUCUCUCUCUCUCUCUCUCUCUCUCUCUCUCUCUCUCUCUCUCUCUCUCUCUCUCUCUCUCUAUCUCUAUAUCUUUCUCUCUCUUGGGUAAAUUAAAUUAUUAUGCUCGAUGAUGAUUCAUUUGCUUUAACCACACCGAAGAGAAGCCGAUUGGUGUUUCAAAGUUCCGAUUUUGAUUUUAGGUUUGAGGAAUUGUUUUUUUGCUUUUUUCACUUUGGAUUUUGAUUGGCUUAGUUCUCUGUAUGAAUCUUUUUCUCUUUCAAGGGUUUAAGAUGAAAGAGGAUUCUGCUAAUCAAUUUUGAAGUGGAUUUUGUGAAGAAAUUUGUUUCCUUUGGGUUAAAAUCAUUGAGGAAUUUGCCUUUCGUGUCUUCUGCUGUGGACAAAAUAUGGCCUUUGUCUGAGAGCUUUUUAUUCAAUUCUUUAUUUUAAUUUUCUUAUUUCAAUUUUCAAAUUUUAAUUUUUUUAAUUUUCUUAUUUUAUUUUCUAAUUUUAGUAUUCUUUUACUUUGCGAUAGUUAAAUAUGCAGAUUGUAUUUUUUUUAUUAAUAUUCUCUUGGUAAAUAUAUAUUUUUUGAAAACUUUAUAUCAAUUUUGUUGUAAAAUUUAGAGUUUGAUUGGAAAUAUGCAAUGAUGUGGAAAGGCCUCGGGUUUUUCUGUAGAAAUUAACACGGUGCAAUAAUUUAUGCUUUAUGAUUAAUUAAAUAGUUGGACUUAAUUUGAUGUUUGGUAUCCUUAACAAAUUGCCGGGUCGACCCCGUCAAAAUUAUAUAAUCAUGGGUUAUUUUGCCUUUUAGUGAAUUUUUUUUUGUUGGACGCGGGCUUCAAUAAAAUAAUUGGAUUUCAUUAGAUUGUUUAAUUUUAUUUUUCCAAUCAAAUGUGG
rnacentral:lncRNA from 1 species